rnacentral:rRNA from 1 species
UACGAAGGGUGCAAGCGUUAAUCGGAAUUACUGGGCGUAAAGGGUGCGUAGGCGGUUGUUUAAGUCUGUCGUGAAAUCCCCGGGCUCAACCUGGGAAUGGCGAUGGAUACUGGACAGCUAGAGUGUGUCAGAGGAUGGUGGAAUUCCCGGUGUAGCGGUGAAAUGCGUAGAGAUCGGGAGGAACAUCAGUGGCGAAGGCGGCCAUCUGGGACGGUACUGACGCUGAGACGCGAAAGCGUGGGGAGCGAACAGG